rnacentral:rRNA from 1 species
UACGUAGGGGGCGAGCGUUGUCCGGAUUUAUUGGGCGUAAAGAGCUCGUAGGCGGCUUGGCAAGUCGGGUGUGAAACCUCCAGGCUCAACCUGGAGACGCCACUCGAUACUGCUAUGGCUAGAGUCCGGUAGGGGACCACGGAAUUCCUGGUGUAGCGGUGAAAUGCGCAGAUAUCAGGAGGAAUACCGAUGGCGAAGGCAGGUCUCUGGGCUGACACUGACGCUCAUGCACGAAAGCGUGGGGAGCAAACAGG